CCAGACUCCUACGGGAGGCAGCAGUGGGGAAUAUUGCACAAUGGGGGAAACCCUGAUGCAGCGACGCCGCGUGAAGGACGAAGUAUUUCGGUACGUAGACUUCUAUCAGCAGGGAAGAAAAUGACGGUACCUGACCAAGAAGCCCCGGCUAACUACGUGCCAGCAGCCGCGGUAAUACGUAGGGGGCAAGCGUUAUCCGGAUUUACUGGGUGUAAAGGGAGCGUAGACGGCGAAGAAAGUCUGAAGUGAAAGCCCGCGGCUCAACCGCGGAAUGGCUUUGGAAACUUUUUUGCUGGAGUACCGGAGAGGUAAGCGGAAUUCCUAGUGUAGCGGUGAAAUGCGUAGAUAUUAGGAGGAACACCAGUGGCGAAGGCGGCUUACUGGACUGUAACUGACACUGAGGCACGAAAGCGUGGGGAGCAAACAGGAUUAGAUACCCCUGUA
rnacentral:rRNA from 1 species